rnacentral:rRNA from 1 species
UACGUAUGUCGCAAGCGUUAUCCGGAAUCACUGGGCAUAAAGGGCGUCUAGGCGGUUUAAAAAGUCAGUGGUGAAAGGUAUCGGCUCAACCGAUACAUAGCCAUUGAAACUCUUAGACUAGAGUAUGGGAGAGGAGGGCGGAACUACAAGAGUAGAGGUGAAAUUCGUAGAUAUUUGUAGGAAUGCCAAUGACGAAGGUAGCUCUCUGGACCAAUACUGACGCUAAAGCGCGAAAGCUAGGGUAGCAAACAGG